CGGAGGGAAACCGAGUCUUAAUUGGGCGUUAAGUUGCAGGGUAUAGACCCGAAACCCGGUGAUCUAGCCAUGGGCAGGUUGAAGGUUGGGUAACACUAACUGGAGGACCGAACCGACUAAUGUUGAAAAAUUAGCGGAUGACCUGUGGCUGGGGGUGAAAGGCCAAUCAAACCGGGAGAUAGCUGGUUCUCCCCGAAAGCUAUUUAGGUAGCGCCUCGUGAAUUCAUCUCCGGGGGUAGAGCACUGUUUCGGCUAGGGGGCCAUCCCGGCUUACCAACCCGAUGCAAACUGCGAAUACCGGAGAAUGUUAUCACGGGAGACACACGGCGGGUGCUAACGUCCGUCGUGAAGAGGGAAACAACCCAGACCGCCAGCUAAGGUCCCAAAGUCAUGGUUAAGUGGGAAACGAUGUGGGAAGGCCCAGACAGCCAGGAUGUUGGCUUAGAAGCAGCCAUCAUUUAAAGAAAGCGUAAUAGCUCACUGGUCGAGUCGGCCUGCGCGGAAGAUGUAACGGGGCUAAACCAUGCACCGAAGCUGCGGCAGCGACACUGUGUGUUGUUGGGUAGGGGAGCGUUCUGUAAGCCUGUGAAGGUGUGUCGUGAGGC
rnacentral:rRNA from 1 species